rnacentral:rRNA from 1 species
ACUCAAAGGAAUUGACGGGGGCCCGCACAAGCAGCGGAGCAUGUGGUUUAAUUCGAAGCAACGCGAAGAACCUUACCAGGGCUUGACAUCCCUUGAAGUUCGUGGAAACACGAACGUCCUUCGGGACAAGGAGACAGGUGGUGCAUGGUUGUCGUCAGCUCGUGUCGUGAGAUGUUGGGUUAAGUCCCGCAACGAGCGCAACCCUUAUGGUUAGUUGCCAGCACGAAAGGUGGGAACUCUAAUCAGACUGCCGGGGAUAACUCGGAGGAAGGUGGGGACGACGUCAAAUCAUCAUGCCCCUUAUGUUCUGGGCUACACACGUGCUACAAUGGCCGGUACAGAGGGCAGCGAAAGGGUAACCUGAAGCGAAUCCCAAAAAGCCGGUCCCAGUUCGGAUCGUGGGCUGCAACCCGCCCACGUGAAGCCGGAGUUGCUAGUAAUCGCGAAUCAGCAUGUCGCGGUGAAUGCGUUCCCGGGCCUUGUACACACCGCCCGU